rnacentral:rRNA from 1 species
AUGCCAUCACAGUUAAGAACAGUUAUCCUUUGCCCAUCAUUGACGAACUUCUCGAUGAGUUGGCGGGGUCUUACUAGUUCUCGAAGCUUGAUUUACGGGCGGGAUACCAUCAAAUCAGACUGGCCGAGCAGGAUGAGGAGAAAACUUCCUUCAAAACUCAUCAAGGGCACUUCCAGUUCCGCGUACUGCCAUAUGGGGUGA